AUUGAACGCUGGCGGCAGGCCUAACACAUGCAAGUCGAACGGUAACAGGAAGAAGCUUGCUUCUUUGCUGACGAGUGGCGGACGGGUGAGUAAUGUCUGGGAAACUGCCUGAUGGAGGGGGAUAACUACUGGAAACGGUAGCUAAUACCGCAUAACGUCGCAAGACCAAAGAGGGGGACCUUCGGGCCUCUUGCCAUCGGAUGUGCCCAGAUGGGAUUAGCUAGUAGGUGGGGUAACGGCUCACCUAGGCGACGAUCCCUAGCUGGUCUGAGAGGAUGACCAGCCACACUGGAACUGAGACACGGUCCAGACUCCUACGGGAGGCAGCAGUGGGGAAUAUUGCACCAUGGGCGCAAGCCUGAUGCAGCCAUGCCGCGUGUAUGAAGAAGGCCUUCGGGUUGUAAAGUACUUUCAGCGGGGAGGAAGGGAGUAAAGUUAAUACCUUUGCUCAUUGACGUUACCCGCAGAAGAAGCACCGGCUAACUCCGUG
rnacentral:rRNA from 1 species